rnacentral:rRNA from 1 species
UGCAAGUCAAGGGGGCCCAGCAAUGGGCAACCGGCGAACGGGUGCGUAACACGUGAGCAACCUACCGAAAUGUGGGGGAUAGCCGGCCUAACGGCCGAGUAAUACCGCAUACGCUCUCGAUGAGGCAUUUCAUUGAGAGGAAACCUACGGGACAUUUCGAGGGGCUCGCGGCCUAUCAGCUAGUUGGAGAGGUAACGGCUCACCAAGGCAACGACGGGUAGCUGGUCUGAGAGGAUGGCCAGCCACAUUGGGACUGAGAUACGGCCCAGACUCCUACGGGAGGCAGCAGUGGGGAAUCUUGCGCAAUGGCCUAACGGCUGACGCAGCGACGCCGCGUGUAGGAUGAAGCUCUUCGGAGUGUAAACUACUGUUGCCCGGGACGAAUAGCUCGAUUAAUCGAGCCUGACGGUACCGGGUGAGGAAGCACCGGCUAACUCCGUGCCAGCAGCCGCGGUAAUACGGGGGGUGCGAGCGUUGUCCGGAAUCACUGGGCGUAAAGGGCGCGUAGGUGGUUUGAUAAGGGUGUGGUGAAAGCCCGGAGCUCAACUCCGGGUCUGCCGUGCCGACUGUCAAACUCGAGGACUGUAGAGGCAGACGGAAUUCCGGGUGUAGCGGUGGAAUGCGUAGAGAUCCGGAGGAAGACCGGUGGCGAAGGCGGUCUGCUGGGCAGUUUCUGACACUGAGGCGCGACAGCGUGGGGAGCAAACAGGAUUAGAUACCCUGGUAGUCCACGCCGUAAACGAUGGGUACUAGGUGCCUGGGGGAGCGACCCUCUGGGUGCCGGCGCUAACGCAGGAAGUACCCCGCCUGGGGAGUACGACCGCAAGGUUGAAACUCAAAGGAAUUGACGGGGGCCCGCACAAGCGGUGGAGCAUGUGGUUUAAUUCGACGCAACGCGAAGAACCUUACCUAGGCUUGACAUGUACGAGCAAGCUC